CAACAUCACCAACAAUUUCUCAUGUCAAGAAUCAUCAAGUAGACACUAUCGGAAGAGGGAAGCUCUUAGCGCGAACGGAGGUGGAUAUUAAUUACAUGAGCAAAAGAAAAGUACCUAAUGGUCCUGAUCCUAUACAUAACAGGCCUCAGGGAAACCUUUCUGAAAUUUUUCACACAACAAUACAUGCAAAGCCUUCUUGUUAUCAAUAGAAUGGAAUUGUUGGCUGCAUUAGUCAAAACUCUACUUCAAUAUUCGUCCAAGUAUAUCAAUUAUUAUUUUUAAUAGUAAGGAUUAUGUUUUUAUUUUUGGUUGGGGGAGAGCCUCUCCAAGUACAUAUACACUCAGAACAAUCCAAGUACAUGUACACCCUUAUCAUAUUCAAGAAUUAUGUAAAGCAAGAUAUAUCUUAUCUUCAAAGGCAUCCUUUGAUAUGUAUGUUCCUUUUGUGCCCUAAAGGCUAAAUGAAUAAAAGAAUCUCGUUAUCCUUUUUCCCCUCUGCA